rnacentral:rRNA from 1 species
UACGAAGGGUGCAAGCGUUACUCGGAAUUACUGGGCGUAAAGCGUGCGUAGGUGGUUUGUUAAGUCUGAUGUGAAAGCCCUGGGCUCAACCUGGGAACGGCAUUGGAAACUGGCUUACUAGAGUGCGGGAGAGGGAUGUGGAAUUCCGGGUGUAGUGGUGGAAUGCGUAGAGAUCCGGAGGAACACCAGCGGCGAAGGCGGCAUCCUGGACUGGUCCUGACACUCAGGAGCGAAAGCGUGGGGAGCGAUCCGG